rnacentral:lncRNA from 1 species
CCCCGCCAACAUAGUCCAUGCAAAGGAAGAAAAGCAUGUAUUUUACUCACAUAUACUUAUUAAAUGCUUACCAAGUUCCACAUGUAGUGCAAGUUGUGUUUUGCAGAUCAUAUACAGGCAUACAGGUGGAAAGCAAAUAAAAAGGCGCAAUCCGACACGUCAAAAAAUGCGCAAAUAAACAAGUACCCAAAAGCCCAAUAUAGAAGUGCAUCAAUUUGCAGGUGGAUCUGGACUCAGGGGCCCGAGAGGAAGGCAACGGGCUUCGGGUCGGGGCCAGAGGGGCCCACUAGGGGGCGGCCGCCCCCUAGGGUCGGCCGACCCUAACCCAGCCCAUCUCGGCACCGCCUUUCGCAGAGGCGGUGCUGAGCCUAUCCUCCCGCAGUCCGCGCGUGCAAAUUGCAGUUUACACCCUGGGGAACCGACCUUCCCCACCUAUUUAAGGAGGGGGAGAGGGAGGCUCCAUUCAUCUCAUUACAUUCACAAUCAACACUCCACCUUCAAGGCAUUUGGGCACUACCUCCUCUUAGUUUUUUUCCUUUUAGCUUUUAGAGAGAGAGUUGGGUGAGCUAUCAAGGAGGGCUUGGCUCCUUGGAGAGAAACUUGGGUAUGAAUAAAGAAUAUCUUUACUCCAAGUCCAUGCCUUAUCAUGUCCGAUAUAGUUCUUCAUAUGAACUAGAGUAUAGUUCUUAUGCUAUGGUAUAUGACAUAGAUCAUAGGCCCUGUUUUAUGAUGCUAGCAUAUGAACUAGAAUAUAGUUCUAGUGAAAAUGAUAUGACAUACAUUUUAGUAUAUAGUUCUUAUAGUAUAAUGCUACCCUAGGGCUAGUAGUGUAUUAUAUGAACUAGUGCUAAGUGUAUGUUGUAUUAUUCUCACUUAGGACUUUAGUCUAAUUGCUUCAUGUUAAUUAAUUGCCUAGAAAUAGCUUUAUGUGAAGAUGUGGGGUUUAUCAUGCUCUUUUGAGUAGGCUCAGGCUUCUUACCUGUCGAUCCGUAGGGUCGGGGACCCGGGGGAGUCCGCGUAGGUUCUUUGCAUGUAAGCAUGGUGCUUGGGUGUAAAGGUCGGGUAAAUGCAUUGUCCUAGUCCACGGUUGACGGGAUGGCGGCAGGUGGUGACAACCCUGUCCGUCCUUGGCAUUCCCCCACGUUCGGCUACGGUGUAGGAGUCUAAAUAGUUGCGAGGUUGCUGGCAGACCAAUACUCGCGUAACCUACCAAACCAUCUAAACACAGGACUAGAUCUAAGUAGUAUAAUUACAUGAUUAACUUGUUCUAUGACAUGAUCUGUAUCUAGGACCACACCUGCUCCAAUAGGUUGUUUGUUUAUUCUUUGAUUUAAUUCAUUCUUUUAGUCUCUUUUUAUUCCUUAGCCCAUAUGCCAUGCCUAGAUUGUGAUGGUUCACUAUUCUACAUAUAAAUGUUUAUCACCUGCUAUAACUUUUGAUUCCAUUAUUGCUAUCAUAAUUACUUUGAUCUAUGCUUAUCUUAGAAUCCUUAACAUAUUAAGCCUUCCUUAGAGCGAACCUAUAAAUACGACACUCGGUAAAUCCCCGGGUUGAAAUGCUACACGAUAAUUCCCGUCCGCUUGCGGUACUUAAACUCCAAACCUAAGGAACUAUCACCCCGGUAUAUACUUAACACUAUUGCUAGACAUGCACCGAGCUAGUGACUUGUUAAGGAAUACCAACAUGGCAAUCCUAGUGCCACUACCAUGAUUAAGAACUGGAACCCUACCCUAACGGUAAUAAGGCGCCGUUAUCGGGAAGGUAGAUCUAGCUUCCUAUUCAAGGUGGUGAUGCUACGGAUCUGCCAAUAUAACACUGCCAAUGUCAUUAUCAUGAGUAGACCAGAACCGUAUUCUAGGUAGCGACGCUAAGAAAUGCUAACAAGCAUUUCUGGCACCGUUGCUUAGGAUAGAUUUAUACUCUAAUCUUGGUGAUUGCAUUAGUAAGUGUUAUCACGACAUUUCUGACAUCGUUGCUGAGGACGGAUUAAACCCUGUUCUUAGUGACGACGUUAAGAAAUGCCAACAAGCAUUUCUGGCGCCGUUGCCGGGGAAGGCUAAUAUGAAAAUGAUUCUAGAUAAAUAUAAUCAAGUAAUCUGAUGUGCGUAAUGAGUCAAUUGUUAUGCAGGAUAACUCUGCCUGUUUUCUCCCUAUUGUGGAUGAAACAGGAGGAAUAGUGUAUGCCUGGUUUCUCUUAGCCGGAAAACUACAUCUCCGAUCCCGAGGCACUCCUAAGGACUAGACGGUCUCGAACCGUUUCGUCUUCUGCUACUCCACCGACAAGUGAACCAGCCGGUACCGCACCAACCCCGAACGAACUCAUGGCCGCCGAGAAGACACUCCGCGAGUUCUCCGUGCCCGCUGUCACCAACGUGGCCACUGGCCCCGCUGUUGACACAGCCGGCAAGAACUUCGAGCUACGCACCGGCCUAAUCACCAUGGUGCAGGCGAGCCCAUUCUGUGGCUUGCCAAGCAAGGAUGCGAAUGCACACCUUCAACACUUCCUGGAGCUAUGUGACACAAUUGUCAUCAAGGACAUCACUCCUGAUGUCAUUUGGCUCCGCCUCUUUCCUUUCUCCCUCGUGGGGAAGGCGAAGAGGUGGUUCUAUCAAGAUAAGGAAGUUGUCACCACGUGGGCAAAAUGCUCCGCGGCAUUCCUCACCAAGUUCUUCCCCAUAAGCAAAACCAAUGCUUUGAUGGGAAGGAUUGCCAGUUUUCAAUAAAAUGCUAGCAAAACAAUCCCUGAAGCAUGGGAGUGGCUACAAGAGUACAUCCUAAGCUGUCCCCAUCACGGCAUGGAGAACUGGAUGGUGCUCCAGAACUUCUACAAUGGGCUCACGCCCAUGUCGAAGGGACUCCUAGACGCCACUGCUGGAGGCACGUUCCUAUCACUUACCACCGCCGGGGCCAAGGCCCUGAUCGAGAAGAUGGUAGAACACCAGAGCUGGGGGGAGGACAGAACUCAACCACCAGUUGCCAAAACACAAAAAGGCAUGCAUACCGUGAAGGAGACGGAUAUGCUUGCCGCAAAAAUAGAUUUAUUGAUGAAGCAACUCACCGAGAGGAACCAAGAGAACCCCUCAAACUCGGUGAAGGCCAUAGACUCGCACAUGACGUGCGAGGUCUGUGGAGAAGUUGGCCAUUGGGGAAUGAUUGCCUCGAAACCCGUGAAGACGCUGCCUACAUCAACAACGGGUUCCGCCAACAAGGAGGCGCCAACCAAGGUAAUGGUUGGAAUAAUCAGUCACGCUCUUCAUUCCAAGGUAAUUCGAGUUUUAAUUCGAACCAACCUUCAUUAAAAGACUUAGUUCUUUUACAGGCUAAAAUAAAUGAAAGCUUAACCAAAAAGAUGCUGUCCAACGACAAAAUUUUAGAAAACGUAAAUACGAAAUUAGAAAACUUGACUUCUUCUGUUCAUAAUCAACUGAGCUUUAAUAAGAUGCUUGAAACACAAAUAGCUCAGAUAGCUGCUGCCCUUCCUACUGAAUAUAAAAAUAAUUCUAAAAAUGUAAAAGUGGUGACCACGAGGGGUGGUAAGACCACUCGUGAUCCACCGAACCCUAACGCUGAUGCAGGGAAGGACAAAGAGCAACAGGAGAUAACAAAGAAAACCCAAAAAGAUGUCAGACUAGAAGAAGAGGAAAUGGCACCAAAAGACCCAUUGGGGUACACGGACACCACGUACCUGCCAUUUCCCACAAGAAAUAGAAAACAAGCUGUGGAUGAACAAUUCACUCGCUUUGUUGAGAUGAUCGAGAAGAUACAUGUAAGCGUUCCUUUGAUGGACGUUCUACAUGUACCUUCUUAUGCCAAGUACAUCAAGGAUAUCAUCAACAACAAGCACCCACUGCCAUCCACUGAAACAAUUAAGCUGACGGAAGAGUGUAGCGCUGCUAUACUCAACCGUCUCCCGGAGAAGUGGAAGGACCCAGGGUGCCCUACAAUCACAUGCUCAAUCGGAACUCAGCGCUUUGAUCAUGCGCUAUGUGAUUUAGGUGCAAGCGUAAGUAUGAUGCCUAAAGUUGUCUUUGACCAGCUCAACUUCACUCAACUCAAGCCAACCACGAUGACUCUCCAACUGGCCGACUCAUCGGUCAGGCAUCCAACGGGAAUAGCCGAAGAUGUACCAGUACAAAUCAGAGGACAGUUUGUUCCCGUGGACUUUGUGGUGCUUGAUAUGGAGUUAACAAAGGAAUCACCAUUGAUCCUUGGGAGACCCUUCUUGAGCACCGCAAGAGCAUAGAUUGAUGUGAAGGAAGGAAAGAUCAGUUUACACAUCAAUGGGAAGGAGGAGAAGUUUGAGUUCAAACCAAGGCUUCAAGAGCAAUGCUCAAUGAUCCGGGUUAGAUAUGGACCAAAUAAACAGAUAAAAGAGGUGCAGAUACAGCCUGAAAUUAUUUAUAGCAUCUCUAAAUCAGUAAAAAGACCUACACAAAAGCCAGAGCAAAAGAAAAAGGCAGCUCCCAAAAAGAAACAUGAGGAGCAAAAUGAAACUUGUAAGCAAAACAAGGCUCCGAAACAAAAAGAGAGUCCUCUUCAACCAAAGAAGGUAUGGAAGGAGAUCCAAAAGGACACCACACCACCAAAAACCAAUCAGAUGAAGUGGAGGCCAAAGAAGGAACAAGCAUCUCCGUCCACUUCUCCCGGACAAGGAGAUCCAUCACCAAGCACGGGAGAAAAAGGUCUUGCUCACCAGACCUAAAAAGGUAAGCCCUGAAAAAAAUAAAACAAUAAUAAACACUGGCCAGAAGCUAGCUUGGGGGAAGACCCCCAAUCCCGAGGUUAUCUGCAUUGCAUAUUUAUGCAUCCUUAAUUUUAAAUUAGCAUGUUUACUUUAUGAAAAUUCCAUUAGUUAAAUUCAUAAUUUAAUUAUUGCAUAUAAAAAAAUGAAAAAUGCUAAAAAGACAAAAAUAUAAUUCCACUCUUAUAUGUGAUGUAAGAUAUAUGCUUCUUCCUUGUUGAAAUGAUGAAUAGUUGCUCUCUCGUAAUUUCUUUUCAGUAUCUAGUUUCAACCUUGAAUUUUCCAAAUUAAUAAAAUGAUUAAAUGCGUGGGUUGCAAAAUGCUCUAUCUAAAGUCUAAAGUAAUUAAUGGAUAUAUUUGUGAUGAUCUGAGCUGCUAGUAUCCUGUUCUAAACAACGCUAGAGUUCUGGAGUUUUUACAAAAAUAAAAUAAUCACAUUGAGUUAGAUUAAGCUUUGUUGACCCUUUAAGAGGUUGUCAUACCAUUGAAAACAAAAAUAUUUCAUUAUGUUAUCAUCUUAAAAGUUUGUUAGAAGGCAUAUGGCUAUGAAAAAGAAAAAAAAAGCAUCCGAGGAAAUAAAAAGGGACAUGUGUCCGAAACCUCAAAAAGAAAGAUCACGAGGAAAUAAAAAGGGACAUGUGUCCGGAACCUCAAAAAAAAAUAUGGGCUAGUGCCCAAGAGUAGAAUUAGCCACAUAGCCAUGUGUCUCUAAUAGACAAAAAGAGAAUGAUAGAAAAGAAAAAGUUUUCAAAAAUUCAAUGGUAUGAUUAACUUUCUCUUUGGAUCCAUUGUUUAAUUUGACAAAUAAAUGUGCUAAGUUUUCAAAAUAAAAAAAAACUCCGGAACAAAAGUAAAGUAAAGAACUAGGGAUAUAGCGCUCGAUCUGAUCAAAUCCAUCCUGCAAAUGCUUAAGGACUCGAGGUAUGAGCAAUAAGCCCCAUGACAUAUCUGUUCAAAAUUCAAAGGAGAAUUCUUGUUUGAAGGUAUGUACUGGAUAGAAGUGAAAAUAUUGUAGCAACUCCUGAUCAACAACCAAGAUCUUAGCUUCUUGCUCGAGGACGAGCAAGGGGUAAGCUUGGGGGAGUUUGUUGGCGGUUCUUAAUGACAUAUUUACCCCGCCAACAUAGUCCAUGCAAAGGAAGAAAAGCAUGUAUUUUACUCACAUAUACUUAUUAAAUGCUUACCAAGUUCCACAUGUAGUGCAAGUUGUGUUUUGCAGAUCAUAUACAGGCAUACAGGUGGAAAGCAAAUAAAAAGGCGCAAUCCGACACGUAAAAAAUGCUCAAAUAAACAAGUACCCAAAAGCCCAAUAUAGAAGUGCAUCAAUUUGCAGGUGGAUCUGGACUCAGGGGCCCAAGAGGAAGGCAACAGGCUUCGGGCCGGGGACAGCGGGGCCCACCAGGGGGCGGCCGCCCCCUAGGGUCGGCCGACCCUGACCGAGCCCAUCGCGGCACCGCCUUUCGCAGAGGCGGUGCUGAGCCUAUCCUCCCGCAGUCCCCGCGUGCAAAUUGCAGUUUACACCCUAGGGAACCGACCUUCCCCACCUAUUUAAGGUGGGGGAGAGGGAGGCUCCAUUCAUCUCAUCACAUUCACAAUCAACACUCCACCUUCAAGGCAUUUGAGCACUACCUCUUCUUAGUUUUUUUCCUUUUAGCUUUUAGAGAGAGAGUUGGGUGAGCUAUCAAGGAGGGCUUGGCUCCUUGGAGAGAAACUUGGGUAUGAAUAAAGAAUAUCUUUACUCCAAGUCCAUGGCUUAUCAUGUCUGAUAUAGUUCUUCAUAUGAACUAGAGUAUAGUUCUUAUGCUAUGGUAUAUGACAUAGAUCAUAGGCCCUGUUUUAUGAUGCUAGCAUAUGAACUAGAAUAUAGUUCUAGUGAAAAUGAUAUGACAUACAUUUUAGUAUAUAGUUCUUAUAGUAUAAUGCUACCCUAGGGCUAGUAGUGUAUUAUAUGAACUAGUGCUAAGUGUAUGUUGUAUUAUUCUCACUUAGGACUUUAGUCUAAUUGCUUCAUGUUAAUUAAUUGCCUAGAAAUAGCUUUGCGUGAAGAUGGGGGGUUUAUCAUGCUCUUUUGAGUAGGCUCGGGCUUCUUACAUGUCGAUCCGUAGGGUCGGGGACCCGAGGGAGUCCGAGUAGGUUCUUUGCAUGUAAGCAUGGUGCUUGGGUGUAAAGGCCGGGUAAAUGCAUUGUCCUAGUCCACGGUUGAGGGGAUGGCGGCAGGUGGUGACAGCCCUGUCCGUCCUUGGCAUUCCCCCACGUUCGGCUAGGGUGUAGGAGUCUAAAUAGUUGCGGAGGUUGCUGGCAGACCAGUACUCGCGUAACCUCCCAAACCAUCUAAACACAGGACUAGAUCUAAGUAGUAUAAUUACAUGAUUAACUUGUUCUAUGACAUGAUCUGUAUCUAGGACCACACCAGCUCCAAUAGGUUGUUUGUUUAUUCUUUGAUUCAAUUCAUUCUUUUAGUCUCUUUUUAUUCCUUAGCCCAUAUGCCAUGCCUAGAUUGUGAUGGAUCACUAUUCUACAUAUAAAUGUUUAUCACCUUCUAUGAAUUUUGAUUCCAUUACUGCUUUCAUAAUUACUUUGAUCUAUGCUUAUCUUAGAAUCCUUAACAUAUUAAGCCUUCCUUAGAGCGAACCUAUAAAUACGACACUCGGUAAAUCCUCGGGUUGAAAUGCUACACGAUAAUUCCCGUCCGCUUGCGGUACUUAAACUCCAAACCUAAGGAACUAUCACCCCGGUAUAUACUUAACACUGUUGCUAGACAUGCGCUGAGCUAGUGACUUGUUAAGGAAUACCAACAUGGUAAUCCUAGUGCCACUACCAUGAUUAAGAACUAGAACCCUACCCUAAUGGUAAUAAGGCGCCG